rnacentral:rRNA from 1 species
UACAGAGGGUGCAAGCGUUAAUCGGAAUUACUGGGCGUAAAGCGUGCGUAGACGGUUACAUAAGUCGGGUGUGAAAGCCCCGGGCUCAACCGUGAAACUGCCGUUGAUACUGCUUUUCUUGAGUUCGGGAGAGGUUGAUGGAAUUCCAGGUGUAGCGGUGAAAUGCGUAGAUAUCUGGAAGAACACCAGUGGCGAAGGCGGUCAACUGGCCCGUAACUGACGCUGAGGCACGAAAGCGUGGGGAGCGAACAGG